rnacentral:lncRNA from 1 species
GUCCUCUCUCAAGCCUUCCACAUCAACCACAGCAGCCAGAGCAGCCAGUGAAUCCCGACCCUCGACAUGGAGGCAGGCAGACCUAGAAGAAGGUGGAGACGUUAGCGACCUGCCUGCCCUGAUGGCUUCAGACGACAGAGAUGUUAAUAGCUGACCCUCUUCCUCUCUUUCCUACACCCCACUCUCUUGUACCUCCCACCACCCCAACCUCCGACUCAGCCUAACCCUCGUCUCCACCGCCACCACCCUUUCGAGUUGGAGCGUACUCGCUGUCCUCCGGGUUCUGGGAAGUGAACCGCAGAAAAACGUACAAUAUAUUUGCAUAGUAGGAAUGAAGAGUUGACAACAGAGUCUGUAAAGAAACUGGAAUAAUAAAAUAUAAUACUUUCUGAUUUCUGUAUAUUCUAAAGGAAUUGGGAAAGGUGCAGUGCAGGUGGCUUAUCUCUGCUGACAAUGUCUGAGGUCUCAGCUGAGAAGACUCAGGGACUGGAGGUGACUCCAAGGCUGGACUGGAAUCUUCUGAGAGCUCACCCACUCACAGGUCUAGACAUUGAUGUCAGCUGUUGGCUGGACCUCACUGGGGGCUGUCAGCCAGAACACUUACAUGUGGCCUCUCCCUGUGAUCUUUCCUCCUCUUCAGAGCCUGAUGACCGGGUUCUAAGAGCCAGCGUCCAGGCAGACAUCGUAUCACUUUAUAUGACUCAGUCAUGUGGUGUCGCUCUCACCAUAGACAUGGCCUGCACAGCAGCAAGGGGCCCGGAGACCCACAUCAGAACAGGAGGGGUGUCAGUCUUAUAAUGUAAGAAGAACAUGGAGCCUGAGGCAUCUUGUUGUGGUCAUAUUGGAAAACUCAAUCUACCACAGAACAACUAAAAAUUAAAGACAUAUUUCUCAUCACAUAUUUUGUUUAUGAGUAUUAUGUAGUCUAGGACUGAAGGAC